rnacentral:rRNA from 1 species
GAUGAACGCUGGCGGCGUGCUUAACACAUGCAAGUCGAACGGAAAGGCCCCUGCUUGCAGGGGUACUCGAGUGGCGAACGGGUGAGUAACACGUGGGUGAUCUGCCCUGCACUUCGGGAUAAGCCUGGGAAACUGGGUCUAAUACCGGAUAGGACCAUCGUUUAGUGUCGGUGGUGGAAAGUUUUUUCGGUGUGGGAUGAGCUCGCGGCCUAUCAGCUUGUUGGUGGGGUAAUGGCCUACCAAGGCGUCGACGGGUAGCCGGCCUGAGAGGGUGUACGGCCACAUUGGGACUGAGAUACGGCCCAGACUCCUACGGGAGGCAGCAGUGGGGAAUAUUGCACAAUGGGCGCAAGCCUGAUGCAGCGACGCCGCGUGGGGGAUGACGGCCUUCGGGUUGUAAACUCCUUUCGCCAGGGACGAAGCGAAAGUGACGGUACCUGGAUAAGAAGCACCGGCUAACUACGUG